CGUCGGAUUAGCAAUAAUUCGGCGGUCCUAGUGGCGCACGGGUGAGUAACACGUGGGUAACCUGCCCUAGAGUUCGGGAUACCCCCUCGAAAGGGGGGCUAAUACCGGAUACGGCCCUCGGGUCGAAAGGCCUGGGGAAGAAAGGUAGCGCAAGCUGCCGCUCUUGGAGGGGCUCGCGGCCUAUCAGCUUGUUGGUGGGGUAAUGGCCCACCAAGGCUUCGACGGGUAGCUGGUCUGAGAGGAUGUCCAGCCACACUGGGACUGAGACACGGCCCAGACUCCUACGGGAGGCAGCAGUGGGGAAUCUUGCGCAAUGGGCGAAAGCCUGACGCAGCGAUGCCGCGUGCGGGAUGAAGGCCUUCGGG
rnacentral:rRNA from 1 species